UACGUAGGGGGCAAGCGUUGUCCGGAAUUAUUGGGCGUAAAGAGCGCGUAGGCGGUCCGAUAAGUCGGCUGUGAAAGUCAGGGGCUCAACCCUUGAAAGCCGGCCGAUACUGUCGGACUAGAGUCCGGAAGAGGCAAGUGGAAUUCCCGGUGUAGCGGUGAAAUGCGCAGAUAUCGGGAGGAACACCAAUGGCGAAAGCGGCUUCCUGGUCCAGCACCGACGUUCAGGCACGAAAGCGUGGGGAGCAAACAGG
rnacentral:rRNA from 1 species